rnacentral:rRNA from 1 species
GCGACCCCUGGAUGGGCGAGGCCACCCGCUGA